AGUGAACGCUGGCGGUAGGCCUUACACAUGCAAGUCGAACGGCAGCACAGUAACUGCCUGCUCUUACGGGGGGGCAGUCGGGGGCGGGAGAGAUCUAAACCGGUCCUUACUUUUUCGUUGGGGCUGACGUAGGGGGACUUAUGCCACUACCGCACCCCAGCUACGAGCGAAAGCAGGGGAUCUUCGGACCUUGCGCGAUUGAAUGUGCCGAUGUCGGAUUAGCUAGUUGGCGGGGUAAAGGCCUACCAAGGCGACGAUCCGUAGCUGGUCUGAGAGGAUGAUCAGCCACACUGGAACUGAGACACGGUCCAGACUCCUACGGGAGGCAGCAGUGGGGAAUAUUGGACAAUGGGCGCAAGCCUGAUCCAGCCAUGCCGCGUGUGUGAAGAAGGCCUUCGGGUUGUAAAGCCCUUUUGUUCGGAAAGAAAAGCAGCAGGUUAAUACCGCGCUGGGCUGACGGUACCCGAAGAAUAAGCACCGGCUAACUUCGUG
rnacentral:rRNA from 1 species